rnacentral:rRNA from 1 species
GUGCCAGCAGCCGCGGUAAUACAGAGGUCUCAAGCGUUGUUCGGAUUCAUUGGGCGUAAAGGGUGCGUAGGUGGCGAGGUAAGUCGGAUGUGAAAUCUCCAAGCUCAACUUGGAAACUGCAUUCGAUACUGCUUUGCUAGAGGAUUGUAGAGGGCAUUGGAAUUCACGGUGUAGCAGUGAAAUGCGUAGAUAUCGGGAAGAACACCAGUGGCGAAGGCGCUCUGCUGGGCCAUAACUGACGCUCAUGGACGAAAGCCAGGGGAGCGAAAGGGAUUAGAUACCCCUGUAGUCCUGGCCGUAAACGAUGAACACUAGGUGUCGGGGGAAUCGACCCCCUCGGUGUCGUAGCCAACGCGCUAAGUGUUCCGCCUGGGGAGUACGCACGCAAGUGUGAAACUCAAAGGAAUUGACGGGGGCCCGCACAAGCGGUGGAGUAUGUGGUUUAAUUCGAUGCAACGCGCAGAACCUUACC